rnacentral:rRNA from 1 species
GAUAAACGCUGGCGGCGUGCAUAACACAUGCAAGUCGAACGAAGUGGCGAACGGGUGAGUAACACGUGAGUAACCUGCCUUACACAAGGGGAUAGCCUUUGGAAACGAAGAAUAAUACCCUAUAGUGGAAGAUGGACUUGCGUCUGAUUAGCUAGUUGGUGGGAUAAAAGCUCACCAAGGCGACGAUCAGUAGCCGGCUUGAGAGAAGGUACGGCCACCUUGGGACUGCGACACGGCCCAAACUCUAGGGGAGGCAGCAGUGGGGAAUUUUGAACAAUGGGGGAAACACUGAUGCAGCCACGCCGCGUGAUUUAGAAGGCAUACGGGUUGUAAAAAUCUUUUUUACGGGAGGCAGUACCUUACGAAUAAGGUACGGCUAAAUACGUGCCAGCCGCCGCGGUAAUAC